AACGAACGCUGGCGGCGUGGAUAAGACAUGCAAGUCGAACGAGAUUUUUCGUUGUAGCAAUACGAUGGAAAGUUUAGUGGCGAACGGGUGCUUAACACGUGGGCAACCUGCCGAGAAGUGGGGGAUAGCUCGCCGAAAGGCGAAUUAAUACCGCAUGUGAUUAGAGAGGACAUCCUUUCGAAAUUAAAGUCGGGGCAACCUGACGCUUUUUGUGGGGCCCGCGGCCUAUCAGCUAGUUGGUGAGGUAACGGCCCACCAAGGCUUUGACGGGUAGCUGGUCUGAGAGGACGACCAGCCACACUGGGACUGAGACACGGCCCAGACACCUACGGGUGGCAGCAGUCGAGAAUUUUUGACAAUGGGGGAAACCCUGAUCGAGCGACGCCGCGUGGAGGAUGAAGGUCUUCGGAUUGUAAACUCCUGUCAUUGGGGAACAAUGCGUGACGGUUAACUGCCGUUGCGUUGAUAGUACCCGAAGAGGAAGAGACGGCUAACUCUGUGCCAGCCGCCGCGGUAAGAC
rnacentral:rRNA from 1 species